GAGAGUGAAAAUAACACCCCGUAAAGCAGAGCUGAGUGCAUCCAGCGAGAGAGUGACCCAAGGUCCUGAUGUUUGGGCAACUCUUGUCUUAUAUGCUGAGCUGUGCCUCAUUACCCACUCUGUAUGAACCUGAUAGAAGAUCGUGCCCCAAUUGUUCACACUGAAUACUUUAUUUUUGCCUAAUUAGAAUACAGAGCCUGUGGGGGGAGUUGCCAUGAGCAUAGUCCCUCAGUGGCGGGAGUUGUCAUGGUAAUGGGACUUAUGGUAAACAGGGACUUGAUGAGUCAUAUCCUGGUCUUGUAUUCCAGACGGCAUUUUUCUUGUAUCCUGUCUCCGCCAUCUUGAGGUCUCUAAACUCCCACCUCAGAACCUCUUCCAGAUGCUUGCCUAGCAGGACCCAGCUCCUCCAUUCUUGGAUAAGACACACAACAAGUUGUCCUGGGUGAUGGAUGAGGGCACUCUGGAGCUGUGAAUUGCUGAGGACAUUUGCAACCACCUUUUGGGGAAAAGAACAGAUGGUCUGCACAAGCCUAACAGCUGGAAGCUGAAGUUUCCCAGCCCAGGCGCUGCUCUUGGAGACAAAGUCCAUCAGACAAUAAGGGAAAACAAACUCCCCUGCACAGCGUGGGAAGUUACCCAGCAGGUGGAGCAGCAGAGAGCCUGCAUGCCCAAGUUUCUGGGCCAGUGAAGAGGAGGUUUGGAUCCCGGCCACUCCUGAGGCCUGCCUGGGAACUUGUGGGGACCAGGGAGGGCGGAUUCAGUGGCCUGAGGGCAUUCCUUCCAUUCCUGACUCCUGUCUGUGGCAUUGGCAUGCACUUACCCCAGAGGACUAAUCUCUGAAAUGGGAAGAUGACCCUCACCUGGGCUGAGAUGGCAGGAAGGCAGAUGUAUUCUCCAAGAAUGUUUGGGUUUUAAGUGGCAGAAAGACAAGUCAAGCCACCUUAAGGUAGAAGGAAAUUACCUGGUAUAUGUAUAUAUGUAUAUGUGUAUACAUAUAUAUAGUUUAGGUAUGAGGUGUCCCCCAAAAGCUCCUGUGUCCCUGCAGGAAUGUUCUCAGGUAAAGCGAUCAGAUUGUGACUGGUAUAACCUAAUCAGUCCAUCCUAGUUUGAAUGGACUGCCUGGGUGGUAACUGUAAAGCAGGUGGGAUGUGGUCUGGAAUUGUGGCUUAGUGGUAGAGCACUUGCCUGGCAUGUAUGAGGCCCUGGGUUCAACCCUCAGCACCACAUGUAAAUAAAUAAAAUAAAAGAUCUCUUGGCAACUAAAAAAAAUAUUUUUUUUUUAAAAAGCAGGUGGGAUGUGGCUAAAGGAGGUAGGUCACUGGGGGCAUGCCCAGAAAGGGUUGUUCUUCUGGGGGCCCCUUCCUGACCCUGGUGUAAGAUGAGCAGCUUCCUGCCCCAUGAAACCCCCAGGCCUGUCCCCCAUGAUGCUCUAUUUCAUCUUGUGCCCAAAGCAAUGGACUUGGCCUACCAUGGAUUGAACCUCUAAAACUGUGAGCCCCAAAUAAACUUUUUGUCUUCUAA